GACUGCCUGUGAGCGCCCGCCUCUGGAGGACAUGCGCCGGGGACUCGACACACACGUGAUCCGCUCGACACAAUCCAGUAUGGCGGAACCCGUCAGUGAGUGGAUCCGUCGUUGGCGCGCUCUCCAACGGGAAUAAAGUCCGGAGUGUUGCGUCCGAUCGCGGCGGAGCUUCGGAAAGUUCAAGCCUAUUGAAGAGGAACCAACACACAGAGCUGGAUUACGUCCAGAGGGGGCGCUAUGAGUUUCUGAGAUCGUCCUUUCUUUCCUGUCCCGCAUCUCUUUUGACUCGUCUUUCCAUUCAACCGUGGAUGGUGAGCAGCCAACGAGUCCCAGAGGAGCUGUGAGGUGUUUCUCACAUCCUCAUCUGCCAGGACACACUCCUCCUAUUAUCAACCCAGUCACUUCAGAAAGAGCCGUCGCAGCCACAAUGAGUUCCCACAGCCGCCCAGAUGGACUUCCCAGUAAAGAACAGCCACUGGAACUUCUGAAGCCAUCUGGAGUCAACCACAUUCCUUCUGGUAGGACUGUGUGUGUGUGUGUGUGUGUGUGUCUCACAGGGUCACAGAACGUCUGAUGAUUGGGUUCUGUGACACUAUAGAUGAGAUGUGUUAAACAGGCCUUUUAAAAAUGUUUCAUUC